rnacentral:rRNA from 1 species
AACGAACGCUGGCGGCAGGCCUAACACAUGCAAGUCGAGCGAGGUAGCAAUACCUAGCGGCGGACGGGUGAGUAACGCGUGGGAACGUGCCCUUUGCUACGGAAUAGCCUCGGGAAACCGGGAGUAAUACCGUAUGUGCUCUUCGGAGGAAAGAUUUAUCGGCAAAGGAUCGGCCCGCGUUGGAUUAGGUAGUUGGUGAGGUAACGGCUCACCAAGCCGACGAUCCAUAGCUGGUUUGAGAGGAUGAUCAGCCACACUGGGACUGAGACACGGCCCAGACUCCUACGGGAGGCAGCAGUGGGGAAUCUUAGACAAUGGGCGCAAGCCUGAUCUAGCCAUGCCGCGUGAGCGAUGAAGGCCUUAGGGUUGUAAAGCUCUUUCAGUGGGGAAGAUAAUGACUGUACCCACAGAAGAAGCCCCGGCUAACUCCGUGCCAGCAGCCGCAGUAA